rnacentral:lncRNA from 1 species
CCGCGCGCAGCCCCGGUUCCCGCUGUCGCCUUUCCCUCCACACCUCCCUGCAAGCUGAGGGAGCCGGCUCCGGCCUUGGCCAGCCCAGAAAGGGGCUGCCACAGUGCAGCGGUGGGCUGAACGGCUCCUCAAGUGCCGCCAAAGUGAGAACCCAGGCAGAGGAGGCGCCGAGAGCGAGCGAGGGCUGUGAGGACUGCCAGCACGUUGUCACCUCUCAAUAUCUUUGAUGAGUUCCAAAAUUUUUAAAUAUUAAAUAUUUAUAAUACUUUAAGAUUUAUUUGAAAAUGUUAAUGAAACAAAGUGUAGAAUCUGGAUGCAAUUCAAAAAUGCCUCAAAUAUUUUAUCUCACACCACAUAUGACAUUAGUAAAAUUAUAUUCAUGACCUAUACAUCUUAAAAAACAUUGAAACUUGCUUAGUUAUAAUUUAGCAAAAAAAAAUUUUUUUAAAAACCUGUGAGAUGGGCAUUUAGCAAAAAAAAAAAAUCUUGCUUAAUUAAUUUUGACCCCUUCUAAAAGUUCUUCUCACUCGUUUAUCACUUAUAAUUUAUAUCUAAAUAGUUAAAUAAUAUAUUUCAUUUAUAAAUUGGAGAGAUAAUUAUCUUAGCAAAUUUCUUUAAUUACACAAUUGUAUUUAUCUUCAGUCAUUGAGAGUUAUGUAAGACUUAACUUCAUAUAUUAGAGAAAAAAAGGAGUAUUUACAUCUUAAAUUGUACAAUAUAACUUCUUUUUUUACCCAUGUGAUGUAGUUAUGUUGAUUAAUACAUUUGGUUGUAAUUCCACAUAUUGUAAGUAACAUUACAUUUUUAGUAAGCCAUUUCUUGCUGUGUAAUCAACACUAAUUCACUCUGGCUUCUAACGCUUAUGCCCAUAUUUCCAUGUUUGAAGGGUGACUAUUGCUCUACUAGACUCAUAUAUGAUUGUCUUGACUUAAUGUUAAGCUGCAAAUUACAUGCAAAUCUCCUCCAUAUAUUUCCUAACUCUCUUUAAAUCAUUGGUUACUAUUCAGCUCCUCAAAUCACUGUCUUUUGAUGGCAGAUCCAAAACAGCAAAAAGACAGGCCAACUUCCUGAAUCAUAGGUAUAGCCUUUGCUUAUAUCUCACUUUACUCUCUUUUGACCACCGUAAGCCAGAGAGCAAAUCCCAAAUUUAUGGAGCCAGAAAGGAGUGAAUGUUUGUUGAGAAGUAUCUCAUUUUGUAUCAUACAUAUUAUCUUCGCUGGGUCUGUUUCUUAGUAUUAAUGUGUACAUGCAUGUACACACACAACUAUUAUUACACUUAAAAUUUACAUAAACAGUUAAAUUUUGGAUUGAUACUCAUAAUUAAAAUACUAUUUGUAUACUUAAUGACAACUCUUGGAUUUAGGAUUAGUAUCAAUCAAUAAACCAUCUGGUAACAAAAUUUCCAAAAAAAAAAAAACAAAUCUAAAGUUAUGUCUUUUUUGUCAAAGUUUUUAAAAACAAUUUAAAAAGAGAAAUUAAAAAACUAUAGUGAGAGUCUUCCAGUUACAGCUUUGAUGUGUAGAAAACUUGGAAGUCAUUACUCCUGCCUUUCUUUUUGUUUUGUUUUGUUUUUGACAUGUAGUCUCAUUCAUUUCACUCACUCUGUUGCCCAGGCUAGAGUGUGCUGGCGCCAUCUUGGCUCACUGCAAUCUCUGCCUCCGGAAUUCAAGUGAUUCUCCUGCCUCAGCCUCCUGAGUAGCUGGGAUUGCAUGUGUGCCACCGUGCUUGGCUGAUUUUGUAUUUUUAGUAGAGAUGGGCUUUCACCAUGUUUACCAGGCUGCUCUGUAACUCCUGACCUCAGGUGAUCCACCCGCCUCAGCCUCCCAAAGUGCUGGGAUUACAGGUAUGAGCCACUGCUUCCGGCCCCUAUCAAGAAGAAGAAGAAGAAGGAGGAGGAGUGGGAGGGGAAGGGGGAGGAAGGGAAGGAGGAAAGAAGAGGAAGAGAAAGAAGGGGAAGGGGAAGGAGAGGAGGAGGAAGAGGAGGAAGAAAAGACACUAAAGAGUAGUGAUCAUCUUUAGAUCAAGUAAAGAACUGAGGUCCAAGUUAUCUCUGAUUGCUGAGCUGAGAGAAAGAUAUUUUUUCCACUCCAGCCUCCAUUGGCUUUUCUGUCUCACCUAAGAGGGAAAAGCAUAUAGUUUGCAGGGUCAGGGCUUAAAGGAAAUAUAUUGGGAAUGCUGUAGCCAGGGAACAUAGUAGAUUAUAAAGGUUGAAAAAAGAACAAUACUACUUUAUAAACAUUUGUGAAGGUAACAGCCUGAGACAUAGGCACACAAAAUAUUGAGAUUUAAUUAAAAGAUUAAAGAGAGCUCAUCAUUCUUCACACUUUGUUGUACAACAGCCAAACUCAG